GGCGGGGCUGACGUCAGUGCCCAGUGCCGCCUGAGCGGAGCGGGACCAGUGUGAAACCCCAGCUCCUGAACCUUGCAGAAGAAAACCCGGAAGACUGGAAACCAAGGGCUUUGCCACUCUUGUCUGGCUCAUAUGUGUACUUCCGUGGAAAACACAGUUUCACAAAGAACCCUAGGAGAUGAUUUGAGGAGGGAAAUUGACUGACUCUCCAAAUGAGUGACCAUCUCAUAGGAAAGCCAUCCAGGCUAUAUCUAAUUCUUCAGUAUCAGAUUUACACUCAGAGCCACUGAGGUCUGUGAUGUUCAAGUCCUAUUAUCCUCUGCACCUUCCUGGAGAUGAAGAUGUACCGUUUCAAACUGAAAGCAAAACACACCCCAUCUCUGUCCCCAAGAAUUCUCUCCAAGAUACUGACACCAGUUCUGCAAAGCUUCAGGCUGCUGAUUUUACCAGGAAGGCAAUAGAAGUUUUGAAACCAUGUUCAUAUAUGUAAAUCCAAUGGCAGUGUACAACCUGAGAUACCCUUCCAUGUAAGUUGUAUUUAUUUCCCAGAUGGCAAAUAGAAGAAACUGUGCAUAAUAAAAAAAAUGAUAAAACAUAAAA